UGUAUUUGUAUGGUGUUAUUAGUGGCAUUGACUCACUGUCCUGUUAUGAUUUCCUCAGGAAUGUAAGAGCUUGGGGUUUGACACGAUCGAGCUGAAUGAGGGAUCUCUUGAACUUCCCGAAGAAACUCUUCUGAGGUGACAGAGCAUUUGGAGCCUAUGCUAUCUCGAGCCCACGAUAUGUCAUUUUCUGAGACUGAUGAUUUUUUCUUCUUGCAUUCAUCUUUCCGACUAUUGCUCUUCGACUGUGAUGGUAACAUCUUCUUGCCACGUGCUCUGAUCAUAUUACACGAAAGAUGGUGCUGCAGUAGGAGCACCUGGCUGAGAGAUGCUUAGAAGCUGGGGCCGUUACGAGAACGAACGACGCUGAUGAUGUCUGUAAACACGCUGGCUCGAUGCAUGCAGACAUAAUCGCAAAGGUCAUUGGGCGCGUUGGUGCGGAGAAGACCGUGUUCGAAGCAUCAAAUCCGAGAACAUCAGAGUGGUUCAUUAAACAAUAUGGUCUUCUCCAAGAAAAACUACACAGUGUUGAGUUGAUUUUUAAAAUAGACCAUGAAGUUCUAAUUUCUCGCAUUGUAAGACAAAACAAGAUCUUCUUAAUCUUUUCCAUCAAGGCCAACGGAUCAAGUGAUUCGAGCUUUUCAAAUUUCUUUCAACGGUCCACCUGUUAUGACUCUUAAAAGCUGAGAUAAUUUUUUGCCGUUGGAUGAAAUUUUGAAGAUUAGGAUCACUUGAUCCGAUAACCUUGGUGGAAGAGAUCCAGAGAUUAUCUCUUUCCUUGUAAGACGAAGUUUUAAAAUUGUACACAUUAGCCCAUUUAA